rnacentral:rRNA from 1 species
UGGUGGAGUGAUUUGUCUGGUUAAUUCCGUUAACGAACGAGACCUCGACCUGCUAAAUAGUUCGGCGUAUCUACGGAUACGUACGUGACUUCUUAGAGGGGCUAUCAGGAGAGUAUCCGAUGGAAGUUCGAGGCAAUAACA